GGGGAUUUAGCUCAGUGGUAGAGCGCUUGCCUAGCAAACGCAAGGCCCUGGGUUCGAUCCCCAGCUCA
rnacentral:tRNA from 1 species